ensembl:lncRNA
UUUGGUUUAGGAGGAUCAGAAGAGAAACAGGGCUAUCAUGAAGCGAGGUUGCAGAUAUUUAAAUGCCAGAUGUUCAAAGAAACCUUUAGCAUGUUCUAAAAGUGGGGAUCAUGUCAGGCCUCUCUGUAGACUACAGCUAGUCCAACCCCCUGCCUAGAGUCUCUGGCUUUGUGGAUAUAGCUAUAGCCAGGUUGACAAAGUUGACUGAAACUCUGAUAAGAUCGCGCUUGAUGCCGGGUCUCGUUGACAAAGAGUAUAUCUGUAUUGGCUCCUGUUAUUUAGUCAUUGGGCAGUGUAGGUUAUUUGAAAGAAACGAUAAAUAGUGUGCGAUAAAUAGGAUACGUUUGGCAGUAGGGGGCUGAUUGCAGCAAAUGGGUUUAUAUUUCAGGCAGUUCCAUAAAACAGUGAAACUUUUAUGUUCAGCUGAGCACUAAAGCAUGGUCAAGCAUGUGCAGUGUUUUCAGUAAUAACAGUGAUUUUUAUAUUGGUCAUACCAUGGCAGGGGAGCCUUUGUGGAUGGUACUGUAGACCCACCUGUGCGAGGGCUAAAACGUGCACGGGUGUGACUACAAGUCGUUCGAUGGUACAGACCCACGAGGGCUGAGCGUACGAAAACAACCGCAACCCCGCUCAACCUAUUUCCACGCGAUGAAGGGAUAUUAACCUUUUUAAGUAUAUAACUAUAUGAAAGAAUGAUAAUACCGAAUGAAGCAGUUAAAAAAGCACAUUGAGAGAACUCAAUGUGUCCAACACAACACACAUAGUUUGUUUUAUAUUAUAGCCUAUUGUAAAAUGUGAUUGAUUCAUUUAAGAGGAUAUUUAGAAUAUUUGGUUGAUUUCAGACUGACUGACCAUUAUAUAUGUGAUGAUGAAUUCAGUUUGACAUUCAAUAUUUUCCCCUUCUGGCUUCCUAAUCUCAAUUGCUAAUUUAGAGCCUAUUUUUCAGAUUAGUCGGUAGUGACCAGAGCCAGGUAGUGACAGGUGGAGAGGUAGAUCCAGGUAGUGACCAGAGCCAGGUAGUGACAGGUGGAGAGGUAGAUCAGGGUAUUGGCCACAGCCAGGUAGCUACAGGUAGGAAGGUAGCCCCAGCAGUGGAAGAGCAACGGGGGAAGUGGAGACAUGGAAUGCUGGGGAGGAGGGGAGGGGAAGGGAAAACUUAAACUACUGUAACUCUCCAGAUAGGAGGACAAAAGUAAAAAAACGAGGUCAAAAGUAAAAAAACGACAUACAAACAUCAUCAUCAUCAUCAUUUUUUCCCGCUCGGCGCAUUUCAUGGCCUUGGGGCGCUUCUGCUGGAGAGUCGGAAGUCUCUGUUCCAGCAUCAGCAGGAUGUCUGGAUUCGACAUCACAUCGCGACAGGGUCAGGGUUAGGUGCUUUGUCAAAGACACCUCCAUGAAUGUGUAGCAUUGCGAAAGACGAAGAACCAUGAGAAAUAAUAAGUGAAAUAAGUGGGUUCACACGUUUGGAGAGCACAGAGAGGAGUGCUAUCCAAAGUAUGCCAGCGUACCUCCGUUUUGAAACCAGAACUGGAUGAGUGUGUGUGCGUGUGCACGUGUGUCUGUACGUGUGUGCGUGAGUGUGUGCAUGCUUCAGUCCAUCCGUCGGUCUGUCUGUCUGCAGGGCAUUUUAGUCUCAUAUUACUAGUGCUUCAUUAACAUGCCAGCUACUCAAAAACCGAGCAAGAGUCGUCUCUUCAUCAAAGUCCUUAGCAAAGUACAGAGGCGAGAGUGGAAAAGAGUUGGGCAAAAUCUGAAGGAAAUCAGUGCAAGUGAUCUUUUUUUAAGGGUCAAAUAAAUUUAAUCUGACAGAAAUAAUAUCAGGGGAAAUUUUAAAAGAAGAGGAAAGGGGAGGGGGGGGAGAGAGUGGAUGAGAUGGGAGGAGAAAGGAGGUGCUCUACUUUGGGUCUGUACGUCUUUAAGAUGAAGUUUCAAUCCGACAUAGUUUUGUUCCCUAAAAGGAAAUCAGUGGGCUAAGACGAGUCAAUGCCAUGCCUUGAAAGUCAUGAAUAAACAUCAGGUUGCCUUUCUGUGCAUAUAUCAUGCAUCACAAGAACACACCACCUAAUGCAAGGUGAUUCAUCGCUCCUUGACACAGGAAAAGUCAGUGAAAUUACCGAUCAAGCAUGGGGCUGGCAUGGGGCUGCUGAGGGAACGAGGGGGUGAGGGGG